AGUAACGCGUGAGGAACCUGCCUUCCAGAGGGGGACAACAGUUGGAAACGACUGCUAAUACCGCAUGAUACGUUGGAGCCGCAUGACUCCGACGUCAAAGAUUUAUCGCUGGAAGAUGGCCUCGCGUCUGAUUAGCUAGUUGGUGAGGUAACGGCCCACCAAGGCGACGAUCAGUAGCCGGACUGAGAGGUUGGCCGGCCACAUUGGGACUGAGAUACGGCCCAGACUCCUACGGGAGGCAGCAG
rnacentral:rRNA from 1 species